rnacentral:rRNA from 1 species
AACGAACGCUGGCGGCAGGCUUAACACAUGCAAGUCGAGCGCCCUCUUCGGGGGGAGCGGCGGACGGGUGAGUAACGCGUGGGAACGUACCCUUUUCUCCGGAAUAGCCUCGGGAAACUGAGAUUAAUGCCGGAUACGCCCUUUGGGGGAAAGAUUUAUCGGAGAAGGAUCGGCCCGCGUUGGAUUAGGUAGUUGGUGGGGUAAUGGCCUACCAAGCCGACGAUCCAUAGCUGGUUUGAGAGGAUGAUCAGCCACACUGGGACUGAGACACGGCCCAGACUCCUACGGGAGGCAGCAGUGGGGAAUCUUGGACAAUGGGGGCAACCCUGAUCCAGCCAUGCCGCGUGAACGACGAAGGCCUUAGGGUUGUAAAGUCUUUCAGCGAGGAAGAU